rnacentral:rRNA from 1 species
AGAGUUUGAUCCUGGCUCAGGAUGAACGCUAGCUACAGGCUUAACACAUGCAAGUCGAGGGGCAGCAUAAUGGAUAGCAAUAUCUAUGGUGGCGACCGGCGCACGGGUGCGUAACGCGUAUGCAACCUACCUUUAACAGGGGGAUAACACUGAGAAAUUGGUACUAAUACCCCAUAAUAUCAUAGAAGGCAUCUUUUAUGGUUGAAAUUCCGAUGGUUAGAGAUGGGCAUGCGUUGUAUUAGCUAGUUGGUGGGGUAACGGCUCACCAAGGCGACGAUACAUAGGGGGACUGAGAGGUUAACCCCCACACUGGUACUCGAGACACGGACCAGACUUCUACGGGAGGCA